UACGUAGGGUACAAGCGUUAAUCGGAAUUACUGGGCGUAAAGCGUGCGCAGGCGGUUUUGUAAGUCUGACGUGAAAUCCCCGGGCUCAACCUGGGAAUUGCGUUGGAGACUGCAAGGCUAGAAUCUGGCAGAGGGGGGUAGAAUUCCACGUGUAGCAGUGAAAUGCGUAGAGAUGUGGAGGAACACCGAUGGCGAAGGCAGCCCCCUGGGUCAAGAUUGACGCUCAUGCACGAAAGCGCGGGGAGCAAACAGG
rnacentral:rRNA from 1 species